rnacentral:sRNA from 1 species
GCUGGGCAUGGUGGCGUGGGCCUCUAAUCCCAGCAACUUGGAGGCUGAGGCAGAAGGAUCAUGUUUGAGACCAGCCUCAGGAGCUUAGUGAGACUAACUUUUUAAAAUGAGCAGUGUUUUAUAGUUACUAUAGUUCCUAAAAACGUGUUUUCAUUUUCCU